CGAACGGGUGAGUAACGCGUGAGGAACCUGCCUCAAAGAGGGGGACAACAGUUGGAAACGACUGCUAAUACCGCAUAAGCCCACGGCUCGGCAUCGAGCAGAGGGAAAAGGAGCAAUCCGCUUUGAGAUGGCCUCGCGUCCGAUUAGCUAGUUGGUGAGGUAACGGCCCACCAAGGCGACGAUCGGUAGCCGGACCGGGAGGUUGAACGGCCACAUUGGGACUGAGACACGGCCCAG
rnacentral:rRNA from 1 species